rnacentral:rRNA from 1 species
AUACGGAGGGUGCAAGCGUUGUUCGGAAUCACUGGGCGUAAAGGGCGCGCAGGCGGUUUUACAAGUCAGAUGUGAAAGCCCACGGCUUAACCGUGGAAGUGCGUUUGAAACUGUAAGACUUGAGUAUCAGAGGGGAAGGUGGAAUUCCCGGUGUAGAGGUGAAAUUCGUAGAUAUCGGGAGGAAUACCGGUGGCGAAGGCGACUUUCUGGCUGAAUACUGACGCUGAGGCGCGAAAGCGUGGGGAGCAAACAGGAUUAGAAACCCGUGUAGUCC